rnacentral:tRNA from 1 species
UCCCUGGUGGCUCAGCGGGUAGAGAGUCUGCCUGCAAUGCAGGAGACCUAAGUUCGAUCCCUUGAUCGGGAA